UCCGUAGGCGGACUAAUAAGUCAGGGGUGAAAUCCAACAGCUUAACUGUUGAACUGCCUUUGAUACUGUUAGUCUUGAAUUAUAUGGAAGUAGAUAGAAUAUGUAGUGUAGCGGUGAAAUGCUUAGAGAUUACAUAGAAUACCGAUUGCGAAGGCAGUCUACUACGUAUAUAUUGACGCUAAUGGACGAAAGCGUGGGGAGCGAACAGGAUUAGAUACCCUGGUAGUCC
rnacentral:rRNA from 1 species